ensembl:lncRNA
CCAGGUCUGAUGAAGGCCUCUACAAGUGUGACAUCAGCGGUCAUGGAGAGUCUCCAUCCAGCUGGAUCACUGUCACAGACAAACACACCACCUCAACUCUAUCUACAACCACACCUCCACCUACAUCCACACCUCCACCUACAUCCACACCUACUCCUACAUCCACCACUACCACCACCACCACAACUACCACACCUCCAUCCACCUCUAUACAUACACCCAGCACCACAACUCCACCCACCAUCACACCCUCACCCACUGCCAACAAAUCUCCAUUACUAACUGCUCCACGCACGACAACCACACCUCCACCUACAUCCACCACUACCACAGCUACCACACGUCCACCCACCUCUACACCUACACCCACCAUCACCACACCUCCACCCACCCGCUCACAUUCACUCACUGCCACCAAAUCUCCAUCAAUAAUUGCUCAAUGCAUUACAUCCACACCUCCACCUACAUUCACCUCUCCUCCUGGUUCCACCUCCAUCACUCCUCCAUCACGCUCUCUUCCUCUUCUCUCUAUGAUGUUGGUCUCCUCCGUUGGAUCAUCCUGUUUUAUGGUUCUACUGGUGUUACUGGUUCUGCUGGUGAGACGAUGUGCUCACAGGAAACCUGAAGCAGAUCAAGAAGAAGCUGGAGAAGAUGACAUCAUCACUUAUGUCAUGUACAGCUACAUCCAAUUAUUAGAUCCUCAACAACAGCCAAUCAGAAAAAGCAAAGAGACUGAUACAACUGUGGUCUACCCAGCAGUGAGCUCUGACGAUGUCAGUAAUGGACAAACAACCAUCAGGACAAGAAAGCUCAGACUUUAAACCAGAGACAGAAGUCGUCUACUCUUCACUGAAGUAGUCCACCAGUCCAACCACUGACGUCCAGCUGCUGGUCUCUAACUGGUCCCCCCAGCACCUCAGACCAGAGGAC